rnacentral:rRNA from 1 species
GACGUAGGGCGCGAGCGUUGUCCGGAUUUAUUGGGUGUAAAGAGCUCGUAGGCGGCUUGUUACGUCGUUCGUGAAAACUUGGGGCUCAACCCCAAGCUUGCGGUCGAUACGGGCAGGCUAGAGUUCGGUAGGGGAGACUGGAAUUCCUGGUGUAGCGGUGAAAUGCGCAGAUAUCAGGAGGAACACCGAUGGCGAAGGCAGAUCUCUGGGCCGUAACUGACGCUGAGGAGCGAAAGCAUGGGGAGCGAACAGG